UCAUUUCAUGAACUUGCUUCAAGAGCUAAACAAACCCAAAAGAAAGGAGUUGAGGGGAGAGGGUCACGACCAGAUUGCUUAGACAAGCAGUGGAGGGAUUUUGUUGAAACUUCAAGUGUAAUUAAUGUCUCAAAGUGUUGUGGAUAUUCAAGUGGUUAGCAAGGUUAACAAAUCAACUUGUUAAGGCGAAAAGAACGACGAGGCAAAAAGGAUUCACGGAUAGUCAUCGACAGGUACAGACGCUCGUUUCGGAGAUCCGCCAGCCUAGGAUAUCUAUUCAGCUACUUUGGAGUGCUCCUUUGUUCCGGAGCCUAGCUUGUGGUAUAGAUCCUUUUGUUGUAUAUGUAUGUGUUUGUUCAGGGUACGGCGGGGCCCUGUCCCGUCAUAUGAUACUGUCAUUACUCUUAGAGGUCUGUGGACAUUUGUGUGGGUCUGUAUAUAGUUACUGCUUCGUUGUGUGGACAUGACUUGUGUUUGGGACGUACCCAUUCGUAGUGGCAGCCUUGUCGACUU